CUAUAAGCUUGUCUUAACUGCUGAGGAGGACUGCAGCUUGGAGAGGUCCGAAUUCAUCCUGCAUGUGGACUCAGGCGGUCUGACACUCAAGUGCAAUGCUUUGAGUUCUAGAAAAGGAACAUGGCAUGGGGAAGGCCAGUUGUGCUCCGUUGAAAAGCAAAAGGAAACCUAGAGUGGUAUUCCAGCUUCUUGGGUUACUGCGGGCGUAUUAACGGGGAAAGUCAGUACAGGGUUCAGGCUCCAGAGUCAGAAAAGCCUUGAAAGGAGUUGGGAUGUAAAGGAUGGGCAAGGUUUAGGUAGGUGGAAAGGAAAACAGGAAGCGAGCAUCUGUGGCAUAGGGCUGGAAACUUUCAGACUGAGUGGGCCAACUGAGUUGGUGGUUAAGGGAAGAAAAGGUUGCAGAGAUCCAGGGAGAGAAUUCCCAACUCCCCUCUCCUGGAGGCGAAGUGUGAGAGAACCACUGCGGAAUCCUCCCCGGCUCCACCCUCCGCAGAGAAGGAGAAUGAUUUGUCUUUCAUUCAAAGACAAAAUGAAAGGUGGUGCCUCAGGCUGGCACUGUGCACUGCUGCGACCACUCCUGCCCGACCUGCCUCCCCAGUGAGCUGCCAUCUGCUGACUCCUUUUCUCCAGCACAAGGCCUCUCACCCUGCUCUGAGGGCUCUGGGACUUCGGUCCUUGAUGGUGGCAGAAAACAGAAACUUGCCUCCAGACCUGUUUGCCUCCGAACCAUGCAACAUGUGCCC
ensembl:lncRNA